UUAAAAUAUUUUACUAGAUUGUAUUUAUGGUUAACAGUAUCUUGCACUACAAUUUAUAUUUAGAUAAUCAUUCAUUUUAAAAUUAUUUAUUGAGCACCUACUAUGUGUUAGGUAUUAGGUACAGAGCAAUGAAUACAGCAAGCACAGUUCCUCACCUCGUGGACCUGACACUGUAGUGUGAGAGAUAAUAAGCAAAUGAUAUAAGGCCAUGCAGUAGUUAAAUGCUAUGAAGAAACAUAAAAUCUGGUACAGGGACAGAGAGUAGGGAGGGAGCUCUUGUUAUAAAGGGUGGCCAGGAAAGACCAAGUUGUGUAGCAGAGGCCUGAAGGAAGCCAGGGACCAAGCCAUAUGAAUUUUCUCAGAUAGGUGUAUUCUAGUUAUAGAGAACAGCAACUGGAACGGUCCUGAGAAGGGAACAUUCCUGGAACAUUCAAGAACUAGCCAAGAGAUCAGCAAGUCUAUAGUAAAAAGAAACAUAGUAGAUAGUCAUCUAGUGUUUUCUUCUCUUCCUUCCUAUUAUCUCUCAUACCAUGUCAUGUUACUUUUCUAAAGGAUCUCAAUGGGGAAGAGAACAUCAUUGUCUUUAAGAUUCAAUUUUUUGUGUAUUGAAAGUCUUCAUGGUCAUUCUUUUGAGAUCAUGACCUACUACAACGUCCCCAGGCCUGCAUCCUCCACAGGCUCCAUGAGCAGAAAAGCAGACGAAUAGAAGAGCAGAGGAACAGAAGAAUAGCAGUGUGGCCGAGCAGCGUGGUAGAGAAAGAGGGAAGAGAAGCAGCAUCUGAAUGUUGAGAGGAGUUUGGCUGGGGACAGUCGGAGAGGAGAUUGGCCGCAGGACGACCCAACUCCAGGGGAGGAACAUCUUCCUACUCCAUUCGCUUCCCCACUCCCCAGCCAUUCCACUGAGAGCCACCUCCAUCUGGCAAUAAAAUCUCUUGCAUUCACUAUCCUUCAAUUUGCCUGUGUGACCUGAUUCUUCCUGGAUGCUGGACAAGAACCCAGCAUCCAGGUACCAAGAGGGCACUGGGCUGGAUAACACUUGAGCUGUCUGUGGACGGCAGAGCUAAAAGAGCACUGUAACAUGCCCACUGGGGCUUUGGGAGUUGCAGGCACCCACCCUGGAUGCUACUACCAUGGGGCUGGAGCCCAAAAGUGUUUGCCCCGCCUCCUGCACCUGCCCGUCUGCAUGCUCCCCCUCCAGUAAGGGGUUUGAGUGCACAGAGGCUGAACAGAUGAGCCACACCCCUGUCACACAUCCUGUGAAGGGGGUUAGGAAACUCUCCCAUUUCAUCUUGACCAUCUUUGAGGGACUAUUGAUGCUUUUGGUAUCAGCAGCCACAGAAUUCAUCAGACACAGCACAAAAGAGCAGGAGAAGAGAUAAUGGCAGAUGCCAGAAGGUUGUCCAGCUGGUUACUACCUCUCCUCUUCACCUGAUUAUACCUGAUUACUGCUGACUCGAUGGGCAGGGAGAGUCGCUGACUCCUGACAGAAAGACUCUGUCACCCCUUGCCAUUUAUUUUAGAUCCUGUGAAUCCUACUGUCAAUGUUGUGACACCUGCAAUGCCUGGGAUGAAGCUGCCCAUGUGGUGAGAUGCAGCCUGUGGAAGCCUCUUUUCAGUGGAGUGAGAGCCAAGCCCCCUUGGCUUUUCAUAGACAAUUGGUGAACGGGACAAGGAGACACUGUCCUUGGAUGUCUGAAAAAAAAAGAAAAAGGUUGCAAAACAUGUUGCCAAUAAGAAUGUUGUAGAUGAAAGGCAGGAUGAAGGAAAGUGGUCUUAAUUUAAAUUCUCUAUUUUACUAAACCUACUCUUUAACAAAUAUGUUUAUGUGAGGCAUCAGAAGCAAAUGUAUUUUGGCUUUUAAGAGAAUUAAAAUUGUUUCCCCUAUUUUUUUAUUUGUUUGCUUUGGUGGCUUUGUGACCAAAAAAAUUGUUUUAAUCCAAAUAGCCACAAUAAAUAAAUAAGCAAAUGAAUAAAAUUCCCAGGUCAUUUGAGAGAAAAGAUUAACUGAAAAGGUAAAGCAUCUCCCCCUUUUUAGUUUCAGUUAAUUAUAGUGUCAGGAUGACUUUUUAACUUACCUGGCAAUCUGGAACCUCAUAGAGUCACUUGCGUUUUCAAAAUUUCCAUGUGAAAACAUGAUUGUGCCAAGUACUCCCUAUUAACUUUUAGACAUCAUCUAUAAAAUCACUACAGGAAAAUAUGGAAAUAUCUGAGAGAUACACAGUGGAUCGCCUCAGAAUAAAUCGUUCCCCAAAUCAUUUUAUGACUGCCUGAGUCGGGACUCAUGGGUCAGAGUAGAGUCAUAGUUAAGGUUUGCAACUGGCUUAGUAGCAAGAGGGGAUAAACAAACUAUCCAGGCUGUUGAACUGUCCAGUUUCGCUACAACUGUAUUUACUUGUUGGGAUCAACUGUUUUCUUUCCUAUUAAGGUAUUAGUAGCCACUGAUAAUGGAAGCCAGGGCCCGCUAGAAAUAGACCAGAGGAAAUUUCCUGACUCACUUGCAUAACAACAGUUCAUCAGCACUGAAGAUAUAUGAAGUGUGACUGCAGAGUAAUGGGAGUGAUUAGGUUUCUCUGCACAACAAAACUCUUACAUACAAAUGAGCACUGUCCCCUUCAGGACAGUCCUCAGGGAACCCGUAUGCUUAUUCCGGUGUGUGAUUGGUCUGGAAGCAUUUUUGGAUGCCCUCUGGACAGAAAGUGCUUUUGGACACUGUUAGUGGUGACAAAGUGUGUCCUUUGAGGAUGGAUUAGAUUGUUGGAAAUGAUACAAUGUAUUCACAGUAUACAUCUGUUGUUUUUGUCUACCCAGAAGCCUCUGUCCAAACUUGUGGUUGGAGAGGCUGUAUUUCUUCUGUCGUUCAUUCUGUCUUUGAAGGCUCUCGAGGAGAAAAUAGCUUUUAAUAUCUCUUGGGAAAUGGCCACAUUUUCCCCUGGCAAUUGAACCCAUGGCUUUCUUGAAUGACUACUCCUCAACCAGGUCUAAGUUGUUUAGGUAGGCUGACUUGACCACCAGUUCCAGAGCACAGACAUGUGACGAGCCUGGCCAUAGUCAUUGAUUCAGGGAUGGACACAUGACUGAAACGGCAUGCUGGCAUUUAGUUCUGGUACUUGGAUUUUAACUGUUGGGAGGAGAAUUUCUCACUCUGCUAUGAUAUAAGCAUGAAGCUACUGGCUUCCACUUGCUGCUACAAAGAGCCUGCUUAAAAAUGGAGCCAACAUAAAAGGAAGCAGAUUUAAGACCUGAGCGAUGAGAGCGUGCACAUGUGUGUAUAUCCACAUAAUGAGACUAAGUCUUGAUUUCUGCACCUUGAUCCAGAUAUACCUGGAGCAGAAACUCUGCUGGGACUCUUUUGUAUCAUGAGCCAGUAACCUCCCUAUUUGCCUAGUAGGUUGAUUUGGGCUUCAAUCUUGCAACCAAGUGAGUCCUGACUAAACCAGCAGAAUGGAGCCAGGUAAGGUUCUUUCUCAAGAAGAGAAGAAGGAAGGUAUCAAGACGUUUAUGACAAAUUUCUACUCAACACUGAGCACCUGCUAAGUGCUGGGCCUAAUAGUCGAGAUGCUGCAAUGAACUAGUCCAUUCAGGAUGCUGAGGUGUUUCAGCCUAGAAGAGACUGCUUUUCUUCCUUUGCUCAUGCAGACUCAGGGGGCCAUUCUCAAGGAGGAGUUAGUGACAGGAAUGUCUUUGGCAAAGACAGCACUCUUGAGUGUGGUCAGAACAUGUUAUUUAUUUCCCAAGAUGAUUAGUUUUUGAAGAAGACAACAAAUAGUUGAGGCUAUGAAUUCUAUCUCUGUAAAAAUAGAGUUAUGUUUUCCUCCUGUAGUCAGAUCUCCUGUGGAACGUGAGUAAACAGGAAUUUCUAUGUAUGGAGCAAGGACAGUAUGGUUAGCACAUAAUACAUGUGUUUAUUUCAGAGCUGGGGAGGACUCCUGACCAGCGUGACACCUAACAUUGGAGUGAAGGGGCAGCAGAUGUGACUUGUUCCUCCUUGCCUUCCACCGUGAUUGUGAGACCUCUCCAGCCACGUGAAACGGAAUGGGAAAUACUCUUCUCCUACCACCAACUUGGCCACUCUCCAGUGACGAGGUUUCAGAAGCAGUGCAUUUUCAAGUUUCUGCCUCAGAAGAGAUCCAGUUUGGCAUUCUGUCUAAGUUCACUGCACAGAGACGGGUUUGGCUCUGUGAUUCAUCAGAAAUAAGAAAAACAAACACUGUAAAUGGAGAACUUGAAAAAGAGGUGGGCACCAUCUCCCCACCCAAGAGAAUGGAUUUAAGAGGAAAUUUGUUUAUGGGAUGAAGUUUUAAAAGGCGACCUGGAAAAUUUAGCAAAGAUGUAAAUAAACAACUCUUCCUUGGAUUGCAUUAGGCUUCAGAAUAAAUAUAUUAACCAGCUUCAGUCAAAGUCUGCCUAGAAUCUGACCCUGACAAGACCCAGUGACUAGUGCUGCUCCGAACCUUCCCCACCAACAGCAGGCAAUUUUCUCUGUGGCAAAGCUACCUCGAAACAGGCAUCCAGGCUUCCCUCCCACGAAGUGAAGAUGAGAAAACUGAGUCUCAGAAUGGACAAGCUCACAGAUGGCAAGUGGUAGAGCAGACUUCACACAUAGGUCAGCAUUGAGGCUUUCCCAGUUAACUGAUGAAGACAUCCAGCAACAUGGAACACCUUGGUUAUUUAACCCUUGACCCUCUCCAGCAGAAAUUCCUGAUUAGCUUCAGCCUGGACAGUCUCAUCACACCUCCCUGAACACAUGUUGCUUAUUUGUUAUCUGUACCUUGGUUCAAGUUCUCCCUCCUAUUUUGAGUGUUGUGUCCUUUCCCUCCCUUCCUUCUAUCCAGCUUACUCCCACACUUCAGGGGAAAUGACACCUCCUCCAUUGUGUCUUACUCACUGGCUCCUACCCACAUGUACCUCCUUUUCUGAACUCUUAUUCCAUGAGUGGCCCUAUGUCUUAGCACUUAAUCUCCUAUAAACCAUGCUAAUAAAAUGGAUGUGGUGCUCCUGGCUAAAUGUAUCCAGUCAGACUUGGCUGUACUUCCUUCUGGCCAGAGGAAUGAAAUGCCUUGUGGUAACAAUUCAUCUUACAGAAUACAGUUUUCUGUUAUUUAACUCACAGCAGACUGGGAUUCUAGAGGGCAGCAACUCUGGCUCAUUCUUCUCUGUAGCCUCCUUGGUAUCCAGCACAGGCUGGAUACUCACCUAGAAGCAGUCAUUGAAUUCAUUUGGAAUCUAAGAAACCUCGACAUAGUCUAAACAGCUUUAGUGCAAUUGAAUGAACAUGUAGAAAGUAAGUGAAGUCACUGUGAUCCACAGCGUGGUCAGGACUUAAUUCUGGAAUAGGAGGUUUCACGGAUAGACCACCAUGGUGUUCAAACAACAUGGGUGUAUUGGUGGCAACCAUGUCUCAGCUGGGGAUGGCAAAGUGGGUAGAGAGAGAUGAAGCCUGGUGAGGGUAGAAAUGUGGUUGCUGGCUGCCUACUCACUUGGGUUGUACCUUCACAAGAACUAGUGCUUAGGAAACUCCUGAACAGGGAUAAUAAGUCUGUUUGUCUUGGAUGCCAACACGAAUUGAUUUAUGUUGACUGCCUGAAGCACUCUGUUGAAAAGAAUUGAAAAAUACCAUAUGGGAUCAGUGGAACAGAACGCCAUAAUUAACCUGCAAUGUGGCAUUGGCAUGUCUAUGUGCUGACCCUGACCUUGAUGCUAUGAAGUAAUAGAAAAAUCCAAGACGGGUCUCUGCCCACGGAGAUUUACAAUCCGACUGGGGAAAUAAUAUAUUCAUCAUAUAAUUAGUGAACAAAAUAUUAGAGUGCUAAAUUGUGGAACAGAGAUGAUGUUAAAGUGACAUGUAAAAUGUAAAAUUUAUGGCAGAAUAAUCAAAUAAAUGCAAGGGGAAGAGUAGAUGAAUGUGGGCUGAAAAGGUCAGGAAAAAUUUGUGUAGGAAAAAGGCCUAAGCUGAGCCCUUCUCAGAGGAAUGAGGUUGAGGGAGGGAUGGGUGAAGGGAGAGAAAUAAUGAUACUCCCAUUGAGGAACUGUGUAGGGAGCAAUAGGAAAGAGUGCCAGUAGGAAGGGAUAUGAUUUGACAAGAGACAGGGUGAGAGGACUUAGCUUCUUUUAAUAACUGGAUGUGAACCCCAUUGCCCUGAUGUCCCAGCUUUACCCAAGCAGGAGAGAAGGGUAGGAACAGAGUCCCUUGUCCUUUGCCCUUGCCAAAGGUGCUGUGCUGCCUGUGGUGGCUCCAUCCAUGAAGAGGUGGAGCCACAAGGAAGGGCCCAGAUCCCCAGAGAGAAUGUGUGGUUGCUCUUGUGUAUCUGGGUGAGCCCAAGGUAGAACAUUUCUCUGAGAGGGGCCUGGACAGAAAAACCCACUAGAAGUGGGUAGGAGAUGAUUAAGCAAAAGAGUGUUCCUUCUGCAGCCUGGAAGGAGAUGAAGCCCCUUCAGAGAAGGACAUCAGUAAUUGGACACCCAGAGGGCAUCAUACUCAACAUUCAGGGCUUAUCAUUUGUGUAUAUAUACAUAAAAUUGUAUUUUUAUUUUCACAGAUUGGACACAAUGAGGAUGCCAAUAAGCAUAUAUGAUCUAUGUUUUCAUAGGGAAAGUUUGAGAUGUAGAGAGUUUAAAUGCUUUAUGGAUUACAGGGUUUGUUAUAGAAGAGUCCUCAAAUACAGGCAUGAGUUCAUUACACAAUAAAAUAUGCACUGAAUCUUGUCUCUCCACUUUUUA
rnacentral:lncRNA from 1 species